UACGGGGGGAGCAAGCGUUGUUCGGAAUCACUGGGCGUAAAGGGCGUGUAGGCGGUCAGGUAAGUGGGAUGUGAAAUGCCCCGGCUCACCCGGGGACCGGCAUCUCAUACUGCUUGGCUUGAGUACGGGAGAGGAUGUGGGAAUUCCUGGUGUAGCGGUGAAAUGCGUAGAUAUCAGGAGGAACACCGGUGGCGAAGGCGCACAUCUGGCCCGAUACUGACGCUGAGGCGCGAAAGCUAGGGGAGCAAACGGG
rnacentral:rRNA from 1 species